rnacentral:rRNA from 1 species
UUUGAUGGCGACCGGCGCACGGGUGAGUAACACGUAUCCAACCUGCCGAUGACUCGGGGAUAGCCUUUCGAAAGAAAGAUUAAUACCCGAUGGCAUAGUUCUUCCGCAUGGUAGAACUAUUAAAGAAUUUCGGUCAUCGAUGGGGAUGCGUUCCAUUAGGUUGUUGGCGGGGUAACGGCCCACCAAGGCAACGAUCAGUAGGGGUUCUGAGAGGAAGGUCCCCCACAUUGGAACUGAGACACGGUCCAA